CCUAGAGAUACAAUUCCAACCCAUUCUGCGUAUCAUUCCUGUUGCUUCCGUGGGGUGGAGUUUGAGCAUGUCUCGGAUCGCUCCGACUAGUCAGUUGGCUGGUCCCCGCGGGAGGUACCCUACAAACCAUUUGCAUUUAUUUUGCCUUCUGUCUGAAUAAUGUUUAUAACAAUUGUUAAAACUUUCAACAACGGAUCUCUUGGUUCUCGCAUCGAUGAAGAACGCAGCGAAAUGCGAUAAGUAGUGUGAAUUGCAGAAUUCAGUGAAUCAUCGAAUCUUUGAACGCACAUUGCGCCUCCUGGUAUUCCGGGAGGCAUGCCUGUUCGAGCGUCAUGAAGACAAUUUCAAGCUCUUUUGCUUGGUUUUGAAGGUUGAGUGUUGCGCUUGCGCUCGUUCACCAUUGAAAUUCACAGGCGGACGGUUUCGUGUUCCUUCUGGAGUUAUAGGUUAACUCUCUCGCUGGAUACGUGAACCUGUCC
rnacentral:rRNA from 1 species